GACGAACGCUGGCGGCGUGCUUAACGCAUGCAAGUCGAACGGAAAGGCCUGCUUUCCCUUGUGGAUUGCGGGUACUCGAGUGGCGAACGGGUGAGUAACACGUGAGUGAUCUGCCCCCAACUUGGGUAUAAGCCUGGGAAACUGGAUCUAAUUCCCGAUAGGACUGCAGGGUGGUGCCUGUGGUGGAAAACGAUUUUCUAGUGGUUGGGGAUGAGCUCGCGGCCUAUCAGCUUGUUGGUGGGGUAAUGGCCUACCAAGGCGGCGACGGGUAGCCGGCCUGGGAGGGUGGACGGCCACAUUGGGACUGAGAUACGGCCCCGACUCCUACGGGAGGCAGCAGUGGGGAAUAUUGGACAAUAGGCGGGAGCCUGAUGCAGCGACGCCGCGUGGGGGAUGACGGCCUUCGGGUUGUAAACCCCUUUCGACCGCGAGGAAGCCACCUGGUUGGAAGGGUGGUGACGGUAGUGGUAGAAGAAGCACCGGCUAACUACGUG
rnacentral:rRNA from 1 species